GCAGUUAGGCAUGGACCCACCAGAUUGAGUGCAAGCUGGCAAAUCGUUUAUUGCCGGUCAAGCACGCGUUUUUAUACUCCUCGAGGUUACAUAAUCAUAGAGCACGUCCUAUUUCCCCAACGAUCAUUCUCGAAUCCUUCCAGUGGGCAUAUGCAGUCCAGCACUCUCUUCGAGGGCCUGCUGCAGAGACUACAUUUCCCAUCCUUCCCUGUGAUAAUCUUCCUGUAAGGUGUUAACCCUUUCCCACAAAUGUUAGGUUUCUGUUUCUGUCACAGUCUCAAGAUACCACUUGUGACUGGUAAUGGUCAGCAAAAUGCAGAGAUUUCAGUGCUCAAAGUGAUUCCUGCUUCCCUCUUGAUGUGGCACUAAUACACCCUUUUGGAAGGCCUGUGAACAUCUGAAAGAUGAAGGAAGUAUUCCUUAUUCAGCAAUGAAGAUCUAAUGACCUCCAGCACCUGCCAGCUCUGGGGAUUAUUGCUUGCUGUGGUUUGAAGUGGUAACAGAAGUAAGGAGUCAUUAGCAGAAAAUG